CCCCUGUUGACAACAAUUUCGGAAAGUUUCUCUGGAAAUUUUUUUUUGACAACUCGGGCAUAAUCCGAAAAAGUCAGGCAAAUUUCUUUCCGUCCACCUAAUUUUUUCCUUCCUGUAUGCCCAUGCUGAGGGUACAGUCACUAGUGGGGACAGAGUUGGGGUAAGGUUGGGGGCACCGACCCCCAGGAUAUUUCGAGAUUUUUGGCCUUGUUUUAAGUCUUAUUUAGUUCUUAUUUAGUUCAAUUAUACUGCUGUCAUUUAAUCAAACCAGCAUUUAAAUUUCUGGGGUGGGUGCAAAUAUCUCUAGGUGGGGUGGGAAAACUUUCUGAGGUGGUGAAAAUAUUUUUGGGGGUGCACACCACCUGCAUCCCCCCAAAAAAUCCAUAUAUGAUUGCCAUCAGAUAAUUAAGUUACUGUGGUAUUAAUUAUUAUGACUUCGCUUUUGGCUAUUCUGUAUUUUAAUGCCUUGUCCCAUGUUCUGUGAUGCCCGCAAUAUAACCAAUAAUUCCUGCAAGACAAAAGACAACAAUCAUAUUACACUAAUAUUAUUACACAUUUUCCCACCUCAAAAACAGCAUUUAUUAUCAAAAUUGUGGAUACUUCUUCUCAUCCAUAAAACUGCAUGUGUACUAAUUAAAGUAUUUUUACAUAGUACUGAAAUGGUGAAUCAUUAUCCACUAGUUAAUCAUAGUUUCUCUGUAACUAAUUCCAAGAAAGUCAAGACAAUGACAGGCAAAGAUAACAAUUUGUUCAAGAGAGAGGAAGGAUCCACAGUUAGGUUAAUUAAUAAAAACAUUCUUGCUGUAGUUCUUUGUGUAUUCCACUUGGUUGUGGAAAUACAUGUCCAGUACAUGAUUUUUUUUGUAAAUGAUUCUUACGGAUUGUUUUUAGGGACAAGUCAUUAUUAAUGCCGGGUAGGGGGCUGGAGGAAAUUUUUAUGAAUAGCAAAAAUUUCUCAUGACCCAUUAUUUUUCUAACAAAAUCAAAAUUUAUCCCCCCCCCCCCC